rnacentral:rRNA from 1 species
CUGGCGGCGUGCCUAACACAUGCAAGUCGAACGGAGNGUUGCGCUGAAUUGAAGUAGCUUGCUACUGGAUUUCUUGUAACACUUAGUGGCGGACGGGUGAGUAACGCGUGAGUAACCUGCCUUACAGAGGGGGACAACAGUUGGAAACGACUGCUAAUACCGCAUGAUGUAUAUUUGAGGCAUCUCAGAUAUACCAAAGGAGCAAUCCGCUGUAAGAUGGACUCGCGUCCGAUUAGAUAGUUGGUGAGGUAACGGCCCACCAAGUCUGCGAUCGGUAGCCGGACUGAGAGGUUGAACGGCCACAUUGGGACUGAGACACGGGCCCAGACUCCUACGGGAGGCAGCAGUGGGGGAUAUUGCACAAUGGAGGAAACUCUGAUGCAGCAACGCCGCGUGAGGGAAGAAGGUUUUCGGAUUGUAAACCUCUGUUUUUAGUGAAGAAACAAAUGACGGUAGCUAAAGAGGAAGCCACGGCUAACUACGUG